rnacentral:rRNA from 1 species
GUCGAGGGGCAGCGGGGGUAGCAAUACCUGCCGGCGACCGGCAAACGGGUGCGGAACACGUACACAACCUUCCUUUUAGUGGGGGAUAGCCCAGAGAAAUUUGGAUUAAUACCCCGUAAGAUUAUAGAGUGGCAUCACUUAGUAAUUAAAGCUCCGGCGCUAGAAGAUGGGUGUGCGUCUGAUUAGGUAGUUGGUUGGGGUAACGGCCCACCAAGCCUACGAUCAGUAACUGGUGUGAGAGCACGACCAGUCACACGGGCACUGAGACACGGGCCCGACUCCUACGGGAGGCAGCAGUAAGGAAUAUUGGUCAAUGGACGCAAGUCUGAGCCAGCCAUGCCGCGUGGAGGAUGAAGGUCCUCUGGAUUGUAAACUUCUUUUAUCUGGGAAGAAAUGCAUUUUUUCUAAAGUGUUUGACGGUACCAGAUGAAUAAGCACCGGCUAACUCCGUGCCAGCAGCCGCG